rnacentral:ncRNA from 1 species
CGUCGCGAGGCGAAAUCUGAAGGAAGUCGGCGGCAAACCUCCGGCCUGACGAACAGGAACCGCAUAGGAGGCUAUCGUUGGGGAUAAGGCCGCCAUCCAGGUUGAAGUCCCAAAGCUACACGGAACCAACGGUGGUAAAUGCGGCAGGUAGAUGGAGGGAAAGAAAC